rnacentral:rRNA from 1 species
CCAGCAGCCGCGGUAAUACGUAGGGUGCAAGCGUUAUCCGGAAUUAUUGGGCGUAAAGGGCUCGUAGGCGGUUCGUCGCGUCCGGUGUGAAAGUCCAUCGCUUAACGGUGGAUCCGCGCCGGGUACGGGCGGGCUUGAGUGCGGUAGGGGAGACUGGAAUUCCCGGUGUAACGGUGGAAUGUGUAGAUAUCGGGAAGAACACCAAUGGCGAAGGCAGGUCUCUGGGCCGUUACUGACGCUGAGGAGCGAAAGCGUGGGGAGCGAACAGGAUUAGAUACCCUGGUAGUCCACGCCGUAAACGGUGGAUGCUGGAUGUGGGGCCCGUUCCACGGGUUCCGUGUCGGAGCUAACGCGUUAAGCAUCCCGCCUGGGGAGUACGGCCGCAAGGCUAAAACUCAAAGAAAUUGACGGGGGCCCGCACAAGCGGCGGAGCAUGCGGAUUAAUUCGAUGCAACGCGAAGAACCUUACCUGGGCUUGACAUGUUCCCGACGAUCCCAGAGAUGGGGUUUCCCUUCGGGGCGGGUUCACAGGUGGUGCAUGGUCGUCGUCAGCUCGUGUCGUGAGAUGUUGGGUUAAGUCCCGCAACGAGCGCAACCCUCGCCCCGUGUUGCCAGCGGAUUAUGCCGGGAACUCACGGGGGACCGCCGGGGUUAACUCGGAGGAAGGUGGGGAUGACGUCAGAUCAUCAUGCCCCUUACGUCCAGGGCUUCACGCAUGCUACAAUGGCCGGUACAACGGGAUGCGACAGUGCGAGCUGGAGCGGAUCCCUGAAAACCGGUCUCAGUUCGGAUCGCAGUCUGCAACUCGACUGCGUGAAGGCGGAGUCGCUAGUAAUCGCGAAUCAGCAACGUCGCGGUGAAUGCGUUCCCGGGCCUUGUACACACCGCCCGUCAAGUCAUGAAAGUGGGCAGCACCCGAAGCCGGUGGCCUAACCCCUUGCGGGAGGGAGCCGUCUAAGGUGAGGCUCGUGAUUGGGACUAAGUCGUAACAAGGUAGCCGUACCGGAAGGUGCGGCUG